rnacentral:rRNA from 1 species
AAGCAGCAAUGCGCUAGGAGAUGGGCUCGCGGCCUAUUAGUUAGUUGGUGAGGUAACGGCUCACCAAGGCGAUGACGGGUAGCCGGUCUGAGAGGAUGUCCGGCCACACUGGAACUGAGACACGGUCCAGACACCUACGGGUGGCAGCAGUCGAGAAUCAUUCACAAUGGGGGCAACCCUGAUGGUGCGACGCCGCGUGGGGGAAUGAAGGUCUUCGGAUUGUAAACCCCUGUCAUGUGGGAGCAAAUUAAAAAGAUAGUACCACAAGAGGAAGAGACGGCUAACUCUGUGCCAGCAGCCGCGGUAAUACAGAGGUCUCAAGCGUUGUUCGGAAUCACUGGGCGUAAAGCGUGCGUAGGCUGUUUCGUAAGUCGUGUGUGAAAGGCAGGGGCUCAACCCCUGGAUUGCACAUGAUACUGCGAGACUAGAGUAAUGGAGGGGGAACCGGAAUUCUCGGUGUAGCAGUGAAAUGCGUAGAUAUCGAGAGGAACACUCGUGGCGAAGGCGGGUUCCUGGACAUUAACUGACGCUGAGGCACGAAGGCCAGGGGAGCGAAAGGGAUUAGAUACCCCUGUAGUCCUGGCAGUAAACGGUGCACGCUUGGUGUGCGGGGAAUCGACCCCCUGCGUGCCGGAGCUAACGCGUUAAGCGUGCCGCCUGGGGAGUACGGUCGCAAGAUUAAAACUCAAAGAAAUUGACGGGGACCCGCACAAGCGGUGGAGUAUGUGGCUUAAUUCGAUGCAACGCGAAGAACCUUACCUGGGCUUGACAUGUAAUGAACAACAUGUGAAAGCAUGCGACUCUUCGGAGGCGUUACACAGGUGCUGCAUGGCCGUCGUCAGCUCGUGUCGUGAGAUGUUUGGUUAAGUCCAGCAACGAGCGCAACCCCUGUUGCCAGUUACCAGCACGUCAAGGUGGGGACUCUGGCGAGACUGCCCAGAUCAACUGGGAGGAAGGUGGGGACGACGUCAGGUCAGUAUGGCCCUUAUGCCCAGGGCUGCACACGUACUACAAUGCCCAGUACAGAGGGGGCCGAAGCCGCGAGGCGGAGGAAAUCCUGAAAACUGGGCCCAGUUCGGACUGUAGGCUGCAACCCGCCUACACGAAGCCGGAAUCGCUAGUAAUGGCGCAUCAGCUACGGCGCCGUGAAUACGUUCCCGGGUCUUGUACACACCGCCCGUCACAUCAUGGAAGCCGGUCGCACCCGAAGUAUCUGAAGCCAACCGCAAGGAGGCAGGGUCCUAAGGUGAGACUGGUAACUGGGAUGAAGUCGUAACAAGGU